CGAAAGCCUGUCUCAGUUCGGAUUGGAGGCUGAAACCCGCCUCCAUGAAGUUGGAUUCGCUAGUAAUCGCGCAUCAGCCAUGGCGCGGUGAAUACGUUCCCGGGCCUUGUACACACCGCCCGUCAAGCCAUGGGAGCCGGGGGCGCCUGAAGUCCGUGACCGCGAGGGUCGGCCUAGGGUGAAACCGGUGAUUGGGGCUAAGUCGUAACAAGGUAGC
rnacentral:rRNA from 1 species